AAGAUGCAACGCGACCUCCUUCCCACAGCAACGAAAGACUGCGACUCCCCGGACUAUCAGGCCGGGAGAGUCCACUUCCAGCUCACCUCGGAGCUCCGGGAGCCUUUCAGCACCUGCUUGGUGAGCGCGAUUACGUCAGUACCACAGGUGGUCACCUUCUCCGUGAGAAGCCCCUUCACGGACUGACCGAACCGCGCUUGAGACUCUGGCGUUCCAGUCGCCAUCAUUUCAGUUAGCGAACGGUUGCGCACUGACGAUGACGGAGUCUUGCCCUGUCACCCAGGCUGGAGUACACGGGUGUGAUCUUGGCUCACUGCAACCUCCGCCUCCCGGGUUCAAGCGAUUCUCCUGCCUCAGCCUCCCAAGUAGCUGGGACUACAGAUGGAGUCUUGCUCUGUCACCCAGGCUGGAGUGCAGUGGUGCAAUCUCGGCUCACUACAAGCUCUGCCUCCCAGGUUCACACCAUUCUCCUGCCUCAGUCUCCGGAGUAGCUGGGACUACAGGUGCCCGCCACCACGCCCGGCUAAUUUUUUGUACUUUUAGUAGAGACGGAGUUUCACCGUGUUAGCC
ensembl:lncRNA novel transcript, antisense to C10orf32